rnacentral:rRNA from 1 species
CAGCAGCCGCGGUAAUACGAAGGGUGCAAGCGUUAAUCGGAAUUACUGGGCGUAAAGCGUGUGUAGGUGGUUGUUUAAGUCUGCCGUGAAAGCCCUGGGCUCAACCUGGGAAUUGCGAUGGAUACUGGGCGACUAGAGUGCGGUAGAGGAUAGUGGAAUUUCCGGUGUAGCAGUGAAAUGCGUAGAGAUCGGAAGGAACAUCUGUGGCGAAGGCGACUAUCUGGGCCAACACUGACACUGAGACGCGAAAGCGUGGGGAGCAAACAGGAUUAGAUACCCCAGUAGUCCCUGUCUCUUAUAA